UAUAGUUGUCAUGUACGGUUUGGGGCGAAAGCAAAAUUUUCAUUGUAUUUUUUUUAGUUGUUAAAUAAAUUUUUAUAAUGUGAUAAACAAUUCUGUUUUGACCCGACAUAACUGAUCCCCUUGAGACCGCCGAGAAAGGGGCUAUUAGUGACAUCAUGGGUUCUGUACCCAGGAUUAUGAUAGUCACAGAUGGCCGAGAUGAGUAACAGAUCUCUUACCAAGAGAAGCUUGCCCCAUGAACGUAGUUUUUUUUGUGGAUAAUGAGCAAAAGGCACCUUGGGAGGCGUGGCAAGAACACCACCCCAUUAGCUGGCGAGCCAGAGCCGGAAGAUUUGUUAUAUUGCGUGCGGCACCCCUCCCAAAUCUGACACCUCUCCUAGGUCUUGAAUAUCGUAUCCUACACGGCUUUCAAGCACCCAUCCUCAUUGUUACAUCCGGUGUCCCCUAUAUCCCUACGACCAGGAAAAUUACUACUGUUUAAUAAACCUAUUAAUAAACAUAA